rnacentral:rRNA from 1 species
UACGUAGGGUGCAAGCGUUGUCCGGAAUUAUUGGGCGUAAAGAGCUCGUAGGCGGUUCGUCGCGUCGGCUGUGAAAUCCCGAGGCUCAACCUCGGGUCUGCAGUCGAUACGGGCGGACUGGAGUUCGGCAGGGGAGACUGGAAUUCCUGGUGUAGCGGUGAAAUGCGCAGAUAUCAGGAGGAACACCGAUGGCGAAGGCAGCCCCCUGGGAUAACACUGACGCUGAGGCGC